AUUGAACGCUGGCGGAAUGCUUUACACAUGCAAGUCGAACGGCAGCACGGAGAGCUUGCUCUCUGGUGGCGAGUGGCGAACGGGUGAGUAAUAUAUCGGAACGUGUCCAAUAAUGGGGGAUAACGAGUCGAAAGAUUCGCUAAUACCGCAUACGCCCUACGGGGGAAAGCAGGGGAUCGUAAGACCUUGCGUUAAUGGAGCGGCCGAUAUCUGAUUAGCUUGUUGGUGAGGUAAAGGCUCACCAAGGCGACGAUCAGUAGCUGGUUUGAGAGAACGACCAGCCACACUGGAACUGAGACACGGUCCAGACUCCGACGGGAGGCAGCAGUGGGGAAUUUUGGACAAUGGGGGCAACCCUGAUCCAGCCAUUCCGCGUGAGUGAAGAAGGCCUUCGGGUUGUAAAGCUCUUUCGCAAGGGAAGAAAACUUAUGAUCAAAUAAAUCAUGAGGUUGACGGUACCUUGAUAAGAAGCACCGGCUAACUACGUGCCAGCCGCCGCGGUAA
rnacentral:rRNA from 1 species